UACGGAGGGAGCUAGCGUUAUUCGGAAUUACUGGGCGUAAAGCGCACGUAGGCGGCUUUGUAAGUUAGAGGUGAAAGCCUGGAGCAUCAACUCAGAUUGCCUUUAAGACUGCAUCGCUUGAAUCCAGGAGAGGUGAGUGGAAUUCCGAGUGUAGAGGUGAAAUUCGUAGAUAUUCGGAAGAACACCAGUGGCGAAGGCGGCUCACUGGACUGGUAUUGACGCUGAGGUGCGAAAGCGUGGGGAGCAAACAGG
rnacentral:rRNA from 1 species